CCUACGGGCGGCAGCAGUGGGGAAUUUUGGACAAUGGGCGCAAGCCUGAUCCAGCCAUGCCGCGUGAGUGAAGAAGGCCUUCGGGUUGUAAAGCUCUUUCAGACGGAAAGAAAUCUCUCAGGAUAAUACCUUGGGAGGAUGACGGUACCGUAAGAAGAAGCACCGGCUAACUACGUGCCAGCAGCCGCGGUAAUACGUAGGGUGCGAGCGUUAAUCGGAAUUACUGGGCGUAAAGCGUGAGAAAGCGGUGAAAUCCCCGGGCUCAACCUGGGAACUGCGUUUGUGACUGCAUCACUCGAGUACGGCAGAGGGAGGUGGAAUUCCGCGUGUAGCAGUGAAAUGCGUAGAUAUGCGGAGGAACACCGAUGGCGAAGGCAGCCUCCUGGGCCAGUACUGACGCUCAUGCACGAAAGCGUGGGGAGCAAACAGGAUUAGAUACCCCAGUAGUC
rnacentral:rRNA from 1 species